rnacentral:rRNA from 1 species
UACGUAGGGUGCAAGCGUUAAUCGGAGUUACUGGGCGUAAAGCGUGCGCAGGCGGUUGUGCAAGACAGAUGUGAAAUCCCCGGGCUUAACCUGGGAACUGCAUUUGUGACUGCACGGCUAGAGUGUGUCAGAGGGGGGUAGAAUUCCACGUGUAGCAGUGAAAUGCGUAGAUAUGUGGAGGAACACCGAUGGCGAAGGCAGGUCUCUGGGCUGACACUGACGCUCAUGCACGAAAGCGUGGGGAGCAAACAGG